rnacentral:lncRNA from 12 species
CUAAUAUGAAAUGCAAAGUCUUUAAAAUCCUGACCCAGUUCAGGGCAGAGUUUCUUCCAAAUUCCUUUAUGAUAAAAUUCUGAGCUGUGAUGCUUAACUCACCAAUUCUCUUCAGCUGAAAACUUGGUGGUGUCAGGGUCACCAACCCUGUUUGAAUAGUCUUGUUUAGAGGCAUGUUAAUUCACAUCAUCUGAUUCUAGAAAAAUAGAGUAAAGGUUUCUCAUUCUAUGAAUCACCACAACAGCUUUCUUUUUUUUUUUUUUAAUUUAUUUAUGAUAGUCACACAGAGAGAGAGAGGCAGAGACACAGGCAGAGGGAGAAGCAGGCUCCAUGCACCGGGAGCCUGACAUGGGAUUUGAUCCCGGGUCUCCAGGAUCGCGCCCUGGGCCAAAGGCAGGCGCUAAACCACUGCGCCACCCAGGGAUCCCACAACAGCUUUCUUAUUACUGAUUGUCUUGGCCUGGCACUCUUUACUGGCUUCAAUUUUUUUUUCUUUGAAGGAGGUGACUACUGUGGAAUGGAACAAUUUAAUCUCACUGAGAGGAGAGUGAAGAUUUCAGAGAUGUCGCAAAUCUCCUGCUUGUACAUUACUCCUGAAAGGUAAAUGGAUAUAUUGUUUGAUUUUUUUUUUUUUUUUUUUUACUAUUUAAAUGUAUUUGAGAACUAAGAGAUUGGAUGUGUAAGAAUAGAAAGGUAAACUAUCUGUAAGGAUCCUGACAAGCGGGAGGUGAAGCAAGAGGAGAAUGUUCCUGCCCUCUAGCCUCCCCUGCCCUACUCUGCCCAAGGGUUGGAACAGACUUGCACUAUUUAACAAAUAUUUGUAGAACAUUCAUGAAGUACAAGGCAAAGCACUAAGUUAAAGGGCUGUUAAGCAAAUGAGCAAGAACAACAAAUGCCUGUGAUCCCUAUCCUCAAAGAGCUCAUGGAUACACUAAAAAAUGUUCAGAGGCAUUUAAACCAAAAAUAUGAGAUAAUGUACAAAUAGGUAGCCAUUUAUUGAAUGCUUAAAUGUAUUAGCCUGUUAAAUGCCAACAACUAUUCAUGA